AUUGAACGCUGGCGGCAUGCUUUACACAUGCAAGUCGAACGGUAACAGGCCGCAAGGUGCUGACGAGUGGCGAACGGGUGAGUAAUGCAUCGGAACGUGCCCAGUCGUGGGGGAUAACUGCUCGAAAGAGCAGCUAAUACCGCAUACGAUCUAUGGAUGAAAGCGGGGGACCGUAAGGCCUCGCGCGAUUGGAGCGGCCGAUGUCAGAUUAGGUAGUUGGUGGGGUAAAGGCUCACCAAGCCAACGAUCUGUAGCUGGUCUGAGAGGGCGACCAGCCACACUGGGACUGAGACACGGCCAAGACUCCUACGGGAGGCAGCAGUGGGGAAUUUUGGACAAUGGGGGCAACCCUGAUCCAGCAAUGCCGCGUGCAGGAAGAAGGCCUUCGGGUUGUAAACUGCUUUUGUACGGAACGAAACGGUCUGGGUUAAUACCCUGGGCUAAUGACGGUACCGUAAGAAUAAGCACCGGCUAACUACGUGCCAGCAGCCGCCGUAACAC
rnacentral:rRNA from 1 species